UUAGGGACGACAUCAAAAGAUCGAUGUAGGAUAAAAAAAAAACUUAAAUCAAAUAGUUUGGGGGUGGGGGUCAACAUUGCUGCAAGUUUUGUUAAUCUAAAAUCGAUUUUACAUAUAUCCCUAUUGGUCAAUCAAUUUUUCCCAAAUUAAGUUUAGAGGGGGGUGUGGGGGUCAGUGAAAAAACUAUGUGAAUUAAGUUUUUUAUCCUUCAUUGAACUUUUGAUGUCGU
rnacentral:lncRNA from 1 species